UACGUAGGGUGCGAGCGUUAAUCGGAAUUACUGGGCGUAAAGCGUGCGUAGGCGGUUUGGUAAGACAGGUGUGAAAUCCCCGGGCUCAACCUGGGAACUGCGCUUGUGACUGCCAGACUUGAGUACGGCAGAGGGGGGUGGAAUUCCACGUGUAGCAGUGAAAUGCGUAGAGAUGUGGAGGAACACCGAUGGCGAAGGCAGCCCCCUGGGUCGAUACUGACGCUGAGGCACGAAAGCGUGGGGAGCAAACAGG
rnacentral:rRNA from 1 species